UAAAAGGCUAGAGAAUUCUUCUAAACAUUCAAAUAUGGUUACCAUUAGAGUGUACUGCAUAUUCAGAUAGUUUCAACUAUCAUGUUAAAAGCUCUCUGGAUGUAUUUUUUCCCUAUAACAUUAAAGCUUGUCAAACUUUUUCACAAUUUCUGUUUCUUCCAGGAACAGGACACACUGGCACAUCCUUUUCCCACCAAACCACAGAAAAACAUUUUUAAGUGAAGGUUGAAGAAAUGGAAAUUUACAGAUGCCAGAAGAAAGGAUAAAAAUCAAGGCAAGAUAAGAAAAAAGGAGGCUGAUGUUCUGCUGGUCCACUUGGUUUACUGGCUUCUCUGUCUGAUUGUGCCUAACUCUGACACUUGUGCCUUCCCUCUAGACACUGUAGAUGAUGUUUAGUCCUAGCUCAAUCAGUCUCUCCCUUUGCACAUUCUGUUACAACCCUGCUCACGUGCUCAAGAUAUUGCUCCUGCUACUCUCCCCUCUCUUCUGCAUCAACAGUUCUUUCUCAUCUACUGGACAAUUCCCAUCAGCCUACUAUCAUACACGAAUACCCCCACCUUUAAAAACCCCUCCCUUGGUCCCACACUGGUCUUCAGAUUCCAUCCCAUUUUUUGCUCCCCUUGACAGCAAAAACCUCCAAAGAGUAUCUGUACUUAGUGUAUUUUCUCUUCACCCAUCAGCAAAAUUUGACUUCGUUACCAUCUCCUCCUGGAAACAGCUUCUUCACCUGGCAUCCAAGUACCUCUCUAUUCUCCUACCUCAUCAAGAACUUCUUCUGCUUUGCUGAUUCUUCAUCCCCUUGAUAUCUAAACAUAGCAAUGUCCCAAGGCUCAGUUCUCAGGUCCACCAAGCACUCUCCCACUUCACAGCCCUUGUAUUUGCAGCCCUUUCUGCCUGUAAGCUCUCUCAACCCUCUUAUCCUCCUGACCCCAGGUCUCUUCAAAUAUUUACCAUCUCAGUUUUCUUUCUUAAUCUCUCUAUAUAAAAAACUACAUCAAAAUCUUUUUCCCUUAUCUUGCUUUAUUUUUUCUCCAUAGCAUUUAGCACCAGCUGAUAUAUUACCAUGUUUAUUUGUUUGCUGUUUGUCCUACUAGAAUGCUAGUUUUUUGAAGGCAAGGGCUCUGUCUGCUUGGUUCCUGCUGUUGGCCACUUCGUAACCCAGAUUCUGGCACAUAACAGACCCUUGCUACAUAUUUGUUGAAUAGCUGAACUCUUAGACACAAUAUCCUAAGACUUUGAUAGAGAUCUUACUUCUGAUAGAUUGUUCUUUCCUGCAACAAUACUGAUUCCUGUAUAAAUCUGGGGAAGGAAGAAAAGGUGACUGAUCACUUUUUACCUCUCAUCUUUUGCCAAGGUAAGGUUUUUUGUGGUUGUUAAAUCUGAAUAUAAUUAAAUUAAAAACUCUGGAUACCCGA
rnacentral:antisense_RNA from 1 species